CAGGUGUCUCCUCCAGGAGUAACUUCCGAUACGUCACAUCCGGCAGAACUUCCGCCCCGGCCCGCUGUCUAGCUAGGCACUCAAUUCCGCUGAAUCAUCUGCUUCCACUUAUGAAGACCAGCUUUCCUCAAGGUGGUGAAAUGACUGUGGCUGCUUGCUUUAACAUCUACACACUGUGUCCACCCUCAGAAACAAUGAACACAGUAAUUCCAAGGAGACUCUCAGACUAGAAAAGAGAAAAAUGCACAUUAAUAUCUGAACCAGAUCUGCUACUCUGUACAAUUUUAACUUUUCAACUGUAGUUAAUGGGUUUACAUUAGUCACCAUUAAAUUUCAUACUGUCAUAAACUUA